rnacentral:rRNA from 1 species
GGUUAACCAACGGUUAAUUCGCCGAAACCUGCCCCUGUCAGGGGGACAACCCGCCGAAAGGCGGGCUAAACCCGCGUACAUGCCACCGGGGCAUCCCGGAGGCAGGAAAGGCUUCGGCCGGACAGGGAUGGGCAUGCGGCGCAUUAGGCAGUAGGCGGGGUAACGGCCCACCUAACCGACGAUGCGUAGGGGUUCUGAGAGGAAGGUCCCCCACACUGGUACUGAGACACGGACCAGACUCCUACGGGAGGCAGCAG